rnacentral:rRNA from 1 species
GACGAACGCUGGCGGCGUGCUUAACACAUGCAAGUCGAACGGAAAGGCCCUGCUUUUGUGGGGUGCUCGAGUGGCGAACGGGUGAGUAACACGUGAGUAACCUGCCCUUGACUUUGGGAUAACUUCAGGAAACUGGGGCUAAUACCGGAUAGGAGCUCCUGCUGCAUGGUGGGGGUUGGAAAGUUUCGGCGGUUGGGGAUGGACUCGCGGCUUAUCAGCUUGUUGGUGGGGUAGUGGCUUACCAAGGCUUUGACGGGUAGCCGGCCUGAGAGGGUGACCGGCCACAUGGGGACUGAGUUCCGGCCCAGACUCCUACGGGAGGCAGCAGUGGGGAAUAUUGCACAAUGGGCGGAAGCCUGAUGCAGCAACGCCGCGUGCGGGAUGACGGCCUUCGGGUUGUAACCGCUUUCGCCUGUGACGAAGCGUGAGUGACGGUAAUGGGUAAAGAGGCACCGGCUAACUACGUG